rnacentral:sRNA from 1 species
GUUUCAAUUCCUCAUAGGCAGGCUAUCGGCCUGUGCAUUUUGUUGAUUAGAUUUUGUCAUAUUUGAUUGG